UUUUUUUUUAAAAGGUGAAGAGCGAAGACAGAUCUAAACUCGGCAGCUGAAAUUGAAAUACAUACAUCAUGCUAUAACUUCAGAGGGGGCUGCAUACCACUGACUCAAGACAACAGUUAACUUGGCAGUCUUCAGGAGAAAUUGUCAUGAUGGUCUGGACUAAAUGAUGAAGAAAAGGAAAGUGAACAACUCAGUGGAGACAUCACCUCAUGCGGAAAAGGGGCGUGGCCUAGGAACUGUUUUCGAACUACCCGAAGUUUAAGGCGAUUGGAAAAGAUGGUUUAAAGCAGUUUUCGAGACAGUGAGGAAGAACUCCUGAUCACUGGGUUGUAGUUCACUCUGUACAGCGCAAGCCUUCUACAGAGGAUAUGGUGGUGGUUGUGGUCUCAGCAUUGGAGGAGGAG